UACGUAGGGGGCAAGCGUUGUCCGGAUUUAUUGGGCGUAAAGCGUCUGCAGGUGGCAGUUCAAGUCUGCUGUCAAAGACCGGGGCUUAACUUCGGAAAGGCAGUGGAAACUGAACAGCUAGAGUAUGGUAGGGGCAGAGGGAAUUCCUGGUGUAGCGGUGAAAUGCGUAGAGAUCAGGAAGAACAUCGGUGGCGAAGGCGCUCUGCUGGACCAUAACUGACACUCAGGGACGAAAGCUAGGGGAGCGAAUGGG
rnacentral:rRNA from 1 species